GACGAACGCUGGCGGCGGGCUUAACACAUGCAAGUCGAACGGUUAAGCGCCUUCCUUUCUGGGAGUCGGGGGUGGGCGGGGGAGGGGUGAGUAACACGCUAGUAACCUGCGCCCUACUACGGGCUAACCGCAGGGAAGUGACGCUAAUACUGGAGAGUCUGGGUCUGUCGGAUGAUGGGUCUGGGCGCGAUCUGGUGUCGGUGGGUGAGGGUCUCGGGGCGGCUUAGCUAGUUGGUGGGGUGAAGGCCUACCAAGGCGGCGAUGCGUAGCUGGCCUGAGAGGAUGAUCGGCCACACUGGAACUGAGACACGGUCCAGCCUCCUACGGGAGGCAGCAGUGGGGAAUAUUGGUCAAUGGGCGGAAGCCUGAUCCAGCCGUGCCGCGUGUGUGAAGAAGGUCUUCGGCUUGUUGAGCACUUUAUGUGGGGGGGAAGGGCAGUAAGUUAAUACCUUGCUGUUUUGACGGUACCAACAGAAUAAGCACCGGCUAACUUCGUG
rnacentral:rRNA from 1 species